CAGUCCCAAAUCAGUCCCUUCCUCGAUCCAUCCAAGUCGAUCCCCUUCUCUCAUCCUCGAAACCCUAGCGUGGAACGAAGCAGGCGGCGGCGCACCCCCUGCCGGCGAGCGGAGCGAGCGGGUCCCCCUGCCGGCGCGGCUCGCGCGCGGGUCGGUGCGCCCGUACCUGCGCGGCGCUGGCGCGCGGGUCAGCGCGCCCCCGCCCCUGAGCGGCGCGCGCGUGGGGGUGAGGGCCACCCUGCGCGGAGGGGCAGGCGCACGGGGAGACAGGAAGAGGGAGGACGCGCGAGAAGGAAGGAAGACAAGCAGAACCAUGGCAGCUCCAAAACCAUCUCCAUCUUGGCUUGAACCAGGGAUCGACCCAAAAUCAAGCUUUUUCUUGGAAAUAAGGCUGGUUGGCAACCCUGGAUGUAGGAAGAAGAACCCUUGCUUUAUUGUCACCAAGAGAACCAAAAGGCAAGGAAGGCAAAGGCAUUGAAGGAAAAGGCAAGGAAGGAGAAGGUAAAGAAGCAGCGAAACUUGGUGCCACCACGUAGUCAUGCAAUGUGCACCAGAAACAAAGCUCCUGACAGUCCAGCUAUGAGCACUAGAAGCAAAAGAAAAAUUCUGGACUAAGACCCUAUUUAGAUAGCAAGUGCUAAACUUUAGCAUAGUACUUUUAGCACCUUUUUAGCACUGGGGCUCUCAAAUAGGUGUGCUAAAAGUGGUGUGCUAAAUUUUAGCACCCCACUUUUCUUUAGCACAUCAAAGGAGUGUUAAAACCUACUAAUAGUGCUAAAAGUGAUCCCCAAGCCCACUUUUUCCCUC